rnacentral:lncRNA from 1 species
GAUGUAUGGUGGCAUGAGAGGCAUGAAGGGAUUGGUCUAUGAAACAUCAGUUCUUGAUCCUGAUGAGGGCAUCCGUUUCCGAGGCUUUAGUAUCCCUGAAUGCCAGAAACUGCUACCCAAGGCUAAGGGUGGGGAAGAACCCCUGCCUGAGGGCUUAUUUUGGCUGCUGGUAACUGGACAUAUCCCAACAGAGGAACAGGUAAAGCAGAAGGAUAUUAUUAGCUCUUCUCAUUCCCCUUCUUCAUUGCCUUUCUCUAAUCUCAGACACUUAAUGCUGAUCCGGCAUUUAUAGAGAUGCGUAGUGAAGGGAAGGAAUCAGCAGAGUUCUGCUGUAUAAAUGGAUUGGGUUGACCUCUCUUGGGUUUUCUUUACUCAGAUGUUGCUGUCCUUUUUUAUUUUUCUCCUUCCUUGUCCUUGCUGGUGUUCUGAGCACUGUCUCUUUUUCCACAGGUAUCUUGGCUCUCAAAAGAGUGGGCAAAGAGGGCAGCUCUGCCUUCCCAUGUGGUCACCAUGCUGGACAACUUUCCCACCAAUCUACACCCCAUGUCUCAGCUCAGUGCAGCUGUUACAGCCCUCAACAGUGAAAGUAACUUUGCCCGAGCAUAUGCACAGGGUAUCAGCCGAACCAAGUACUGGGAGGUAGGAAAUUUGGGUGGGGUGAUCGGUGUGUGAUG